GACGAACGCUGGCGGCGUGCCUAAUACAUGCAAGUCGAACGAACUCUGGUAUUGAUUGGUGCUUGCAUCAUGAUUUACAUUUGAGUGAGUGGCGAACUGGUGAGUAACACGUGGGAAACCUGCCCAGAAGCGGGGGAUAACACCUGGAAACAGAUGCUAAUACCGCAUAACAACUUGGACCGCAUGGUCCGAGCUUGAAAGAUGGCUUCAGCUAUCACUUUUGGAUGGUCCCGCGGCGUAUUAGCUAGAUGGUGGGGUAACGGCUCACCAUGGCAAUGAUACGUAGCCGACCUGAGAGGGUAAUCGGCCACAUUGGGACUGAGACACGGCCCAAACUCCUACGGGAGGCAGCAGUAGGGAAUCUUCCACAAUGGACGAAAGUCUGAUGGAGCAACGCCGCGUGAGUGAAGAAGGGUUUCGGCUCGUAAAACUCUGUUGUUAAAGAAGAACAUAUCUGAGAGUAACUGUUCAGGUAUUGACGGUAUUUAACCAGAAAGCCACGGCUAACUACGUGCCAGCAGCCGCGGUAAUACGUAGGUGGCAAGCGUUGUCCGGAUUUAUUGGGCGUAAAGCGAGCGCAGGCGGUUUUUUAAGUCUGAUGUGAAAGCCUUCGGCUCAACCGAAGAAGUGCAUCGGAAACUGGGAAACUUGAGUGCAGAAGAGGACAGUGGAACUCCAUGUGUAGCGGUGAAAUGCGUAGAUAUAUGGAAGAACACCAGUGGCGAAGGCGGCUGUCUGGUCUGUAACUGACGCUGAGGCUCGAAAGUAUGGGUAGCAAACAGGAUUAGAUACCCUGUAGUCCAUACCGUAAACGAUGAAUGCUAAGUGUUGGAGGGUUUCCGCCUUUCAGUGCUGCAGCUAACGCAUUAAGCAUUCCGCCUGGGGAGUACGGCCGCAAGGCUGAAACUCAAAGGAAUUGACGGGGGCCCGCACAAGCGGUGGAGCAUGUGGUUUAAUUCGAAGCUACGCGAAGAACCUUACCAGGUCUUGACAUACUAUGCAAAUCUAAGAGAUUAGACGUUCCCUUCGGGGACAUGGAUACAGGUGGCGCAUGGUUGUCGUCAGCUCGUGUCGUGAGAUGUUGGGUUAAGUCCCGCAACGAGCGCAACCCUUAUUAUCAGUUGCCAGCAUUAAGUUGGGCACUCUGGUGAGACUGCCGGUGACAAACCGGAGGAAGGUGGGGAUGACGUCAAAUCAUCAUGCCCCUUAUGACCUGGGCUACACACGUGCUACAAUGGAUGGUACAACGAGUUGCGAACUCGCGAGAGUAAGCUAAUCUCUUAAAGCCAUUCUCAGUUCGGAUUGUAGGCUGCAACUCGCCUACAUGAAGUCGGAAUCGCUAGUAAUCGCGGAUCAGCAUGCCGCGGUGAAUACGUUCCCGGGCCUUGUACACACCGCCCGUCACACCAUGAGAGUUUGUAACACCCAAAGUCGGUGGGGUAACCUUUUAGGAACCAGCCGCCUAAGGUGGGACAGAUGAUUAGGGUG
rnacentral:rRNA from 1 species